GCAAAGUUGGAAGAGUAAGCCUGACUUGAAGGCUUGGGUUGAAAUAUUCUUAUUUCAGAUCCCUAAACCUCUGGAUUUACUCCGUUUGGAUGAUUUAUCCAGCUCACAGGAUAUUCAAAGAUCACAGCUGGAUUAAGAGUCCUCCCAUAUAGUCCUCGCCCGUAUGAGGCUCAAAGAGGUGCAUUCAGGGAGUGAUCAAAUUAACAACAUAUUGAGCAAGUCCAGAAGUAUUUCACGAGAAGAGUACUACACUCCUCU